CGUCUAUAUACGUAUAGCAUAUCAAUAAGCGGAGGAAAAGAAAGCUAACAAGGAUUCCCUUAGUAACGGCGAGUGAAGCGGGAAGAGCUCAAAUUUGAAAUCUUCAAGGUUCUACCUUGACGAAUUGUAGUUUAAAGAAGUGUUUUCUGUUGAAGUUUUGGUAAAAGUUCUUUGGAAUAGGACAUCAUAGAGGGUGAGAAUCCCGUAUUUGACCAUUAUUUUCAGCUGUGUGAUACACUUUCAAAGAGUCGGAUUGUUUGGGAAUGCAGUCCAAAAUGGGUGGUAAAUUUCAUCUAAAGCUAAAUAUUGGCGAGAGACCGAUAGCGAACAAGUACCGUGAGGGAAAGAUGAAAAGAACUUUGAAAAGAGAGUUAAACAGUACGUGAAAUUGUCAAAAGGGAAGCGUUUGACACCAGUGUUGUUUUUCCGAAAAUCAAUUAAGAGUGGCUUGAUUUUGUGUUGUAUUGACCUUAUCAGCUUUCUUCACUCUUUUUCGAGUCUUUCCUAAUGCACUUUUCGGUUAACAAGUCAACAUCAAUUUCUUUUGUUGUAAAAGGGUAUUUGGAAGGUGGCUUUCUUUUCGGAGAAAGUGUUUAUAGCCUUAUACCUCUACAAUCGGAGAGAUUGAGGUCUGCAGCGUAGAUCCUUCGGGGCUAGAUACACUUGUGCUAAGUUAUAGCUUUUCAUAGACAACUUGUUGACUAUGUUUAGUCAUGUAGCUUACCCGCUUGUGCUAUUUUACCUACGCUUAGGAUGUUGAGUCAUCACACAUCUCU
rnacentral:rRNA from 1 species